rnacentral:rRNA from 1 species
GAUGAACGCUGGCGGCGUGCCUAAUACAUGCAAGUCGAGCGAACAGACGAGGAGCUUGCUCCUCUGACGUUAGCGGCGGACGGGUGAGUAACACGUGGAUAACCUACCUAUAAGACUGGGAUAACUUCGGGAAACCGGAGCUAAUACCGGAUAAUAUAUUGAACCGCAUGGUUCAAUAGUGAAAGACGGUUUUGCUGUCACUUAUAGAUGGAUCCGCGCCGCAUUAGCUAGUUGGUAAGGUAACGGCUUACCAAGGCAACGAUGCGUAGCCGACCUGAGAGGGUGAGCAGGCACACCGGAACUGAGACACGGUCCAGACUCCGACGGGAGGCAGCAGUAGGGAAUCUUCCGAAAUGGGCGAAAGCCUGACGGAGCAACGCCGCGUGAGUGAUGAAGGUCUUCGGAUCGUAAAACUCUGUUAGUAGGGAAGAACAAAUGUGUAAGUAACUAUGCACGUCUUGACGGUACCUAAUCAGAAAGCCACGGCUAACUACGUG